rnacentral:rRNA from 1 species
GAUGAACGCUGGCGGCGUGCCUAAUACAUGCAAGUCGAGCGAACAGACGAGGUGCUUGCUCCUCUGACGUUAGCGGCGGACGGGUGAGUAACACGUGGAUAACCUACCUAUAAGACUGGGAUAACUUCGGGAAACCGGAGCUAAUACCGUAUAAUAUAUUGAACCGCAUGGUUCAAUAGUGAAAGACGGUUUUGCUGUCACUUAUAGAUGGAUCCGCGCCGCAUUAGCUAGUUGGUAAGGUAACGGCUUACCAAGGCAACGAUGCGUAGCCGACCUGAGAGGGUGAUCGGCCACACUGGAACUGAGACACGGUCCAGACUCCUACGGGAGGCAGCAGUAGGGAAUCUUCCGCAAUGGGCGAAAGCCUGACGGAGCAACGCCGCGUGAGUGAUGAAGGUCUUCGGAUCGUAAAACUCUGUUAUUAGGGAAGAACAAAUGUGUAAGUAACUAUGCACGUCUUGACGGUACCUAAUCAGAAAGCCACGGCUAACUACGUG